GGGCCGUUAGCUCAAUAGGUAGAGCACCUGAUUCUUAAUCAGGGGGUUGCAGGUUCGAGUCCUGCACGGCCCACCA
rnacentral:tRNA from 10 species